AACAUCACAGUUGAAUGUAAAGUAGACUCUAAACAGCUCUCCCCCUCCCCGUUAUUCAUUGCAACACAAUCAGUAAACAGCAGCUCUGCCUUUGCACACAA